AUUGAACGCUGGCGGAAUGCUUUACACAUGCAAGUCGAACGGUAGAGGGGGCAACCCCUCGAGAGUGGCGAACGGGUGAGUAAUAUAUCGGAACGUGCCCAGUCGUGGGGGAUAACGUAGCGAAAGUUACGCUAAUACCGCAUACGAUCUACGGAUGAAAGCGGGGGACUCGCAAGAGCCUCGCGCGAUUGGAGCGGCCGAUAUCAGAUUAGGUAGUUGGUGGGGUAAAGGCUCACCAAGCCAACGAUCUGUAGCUGGUCUGAGAGGACGACCAGCCACACUGGAACUGAGACACGGUCCAGACUCCUACGGGAGGCAGCAGUGGGGAAUUUUGGACAAUGGACGCAAGUCUGAUCCAGCCAUUCCGCGUGCAGGAUGAAGGCCCUCGGGUUGUAAACUGCUUUUGUACGGAACGAAAAGGUCUCUAUUAAUACUAGGGGCUCAUGACGG
rnacentral:rRNA from 1 species